rnacentral:misc_RNA from 1 species
UUGAUUCAUUUGUAUAAAUCCUCAGAUAAUUCGUAUAAAUACAAGAGUUUGUGGUCUCCGGCGGGCGCCUGGUUCCGGGCACAAGGCGCCGGGGCGGUCCCGCCGAAGCAACGAUAGGUAUGUUCACAUGGGUUUGGGAGUUGUAAACUCGGUAAUGAUCCCUCCGCUGGUUCACCAACGGAGA